GGGGCUGUAGCUUAGCCAGGUUAGAGCGCCCGGCUCAUAAAAGCCCCUUUGAAAAGCGGCUUUACCCGUAAAGGGGCAUUGAGAAACCGGGCGGUCGCAGGUUCGAAUCCUGCCAGCCCCAAACCGGGCGGUCGCAGGUUCGAAUCCUGCCAGCCCCA
rnacentral:tRNA from 1 species